AGUUAUGGGAUUUUUGGUGUGGGUGAGUUUGAGAGAGUAUGAGUGUUUGGGAGGGGAGGGAGGUUGAGGAUGAUGAAAAUCGAGGGUUGUGGGCUAGGUUUAGGGUCGUCCGGUUCGGUUUAGGUGGGAAGGGACCGGUCCAAUUAAAUUCAAACCAGGGUUAGAUCGAAAAUCACUUACCUGAACCAGUCGUGGAGCGACCUCGGCACGUCGCUCCGGGACGUCGCUCUCAAAUCGACACUAACCGA
rnacentral:lncRNA from 1 species